rnacentral:tRNA from 1 species
GCGCUCGUCGCGGUGCUGGCGCUGCAGCCGCGGUCGGCGCGCGGACCGGUCGCCCGGUGGGCCCCGCGGGUCGCGGCCGCGCUGGUGCU